rnacentral:rRNA from 1 species
UUGGAGGGCAAGUCUGGUGCCAGCAGCCGCGGUAAUUCCAGCUCCAAUAGCGUAUAUUAAAGUUGUUGCAGUUAAAAAGCUCGUAGUUGAAUUUCGGGAUCAAUAUGUUGGUCGUGCCAUUGGUACGUACUGGCAUUAUUGGUUUCUACCUUCUGAAGAACCUCGAUGUCAUUAAUUUGGUGUCUUGGGGAAUCAGGACUGUUACUUUGAAAAAAUUAGAGUGUUUAAAGCAGGCUCGCGCUUGAAUACAUUAGCAUGGAAUAAUGAAAUAGGACGUUUGAUUCUAUUUUGUUGGUUUCUAGGAUCGACGUAAUGAUUAAUAGGGAUAGUUGGGGGCAUUAGUAUUCAAUUGUCAGAGGUGAAAUUCUUGGAUUUAUUGAAGACUAACUACUGCGAAAGCAUUUGCCAAGGAUGUUUUCAUUAAUCAAGAACGAAAGUUAGGGGAUCGAAGACGAUCAGAUACCGUCGUAGUCUUAACCAUAAACUAUGCCGACUAGGGAUCGGAUGAUGUUAAUUUUUUAAUGACUCAUUCGGCACCUUACGGGAAAC